rnacentral:rRNA from 1 species
AGCGAACGCUGGCGGCAGGCCUAACACAUGCAAGUCGAGCGGCCGUAGCAAUACGGCAGCGGCAGACGGGAGAGUAACACGUGGGAACGCGCCCUUCGGUUCGGAAUAACUCAGGGAAACUUGGGCUAAUACCGGAUACGCCCUUACGGGGAAAGAUUUAUUGCCGAAGGAACGGCCCGCGUCCGAUUAGCUUGUUGGUGAGGUAACGGCUCACCAAGGCAACGAUCGGUAGCUGGUCUGAGAGGAUGACCAGCCUCACUGGGACUGAGACACGGCCCAGACUCCUACGGGAGGCAGCAGUGGGGAAUAUUGGACAAUGGGCGCAAGCCUGAUCCAGCCAUGCCGCGUGGGUGAUGAAGGCCCUAGGGUUGUAAAGCCCUUUCGGCGGGGAAGAUAAUGACGGUACCCGCAGAAGAAGCCCCGGCUAACUUCGUGCCAGCAGCCGCGGUAAAAC